GAGGCUGUAGCUCAGUUGGUUAGAGUGUCGCUCUGUCACAGCGAAGGUCGCGGGUUCAAGCCCCGUCAGCCUCG
rnacentral:tRNA from 7 species